rnacentral:lncRNA from 1 species
AUGAAAGAUGUUGAUGUUUCCCUUAAUGCCAUACUGUGCCUUGGCCUUCAGGUGACUGGGCUGCAGUGCAAUGAAAAAGAGUGUUUUGGUCCCUACUCAAAGCAUACCGAAUCGAGGCUUGUGCCUCGAUUCGGUGACGUUCAAAGCACGUCUAUCCUCAGAGAGAGUGGAAGCCUUUCAGGCUUGUCUGGCACUUUUUUGCAGGGGGACGAUGUUGAAGUUCAGAACGUGCCUCAGACUAUUGGGUCUGACGGCGUCGGCGCUGGUAGUAGUCCCACUUGGCCGCCUCCAUAUGAGGCCGGUUCAGCGAUGGGUUGCAUCACUCAAACUGAACCCGACGUGCACAUGCCAUGUCCAUCGCCGAGUUUUGAUCUCCAUGGCUUGCGUCUUGGCGCUGCGCCCUUGGGGACGCACGUCCUUUUUAACUACAGGCAUUACCAUGGGAACUAUCCUGGCAAGGAAGGUCCUUUAGACGGAUGCCUUUCGGGCGGGCUGGGGAGCCGUAUACGAGGGCAGAACAAUAAAUGGCAUGUGGAGUUCACAUAUGCAGUUUGUUCACAUAAACUGCCUGGAACUUCAAUCGGUGUCACUGGCGCUGAAACAUUUUCUUCCCUUUCUGAAAGGGCAACAUGUUCUAGUCAGGACGGACAACACCACGGUGGUGGCGUAUAUAAACCGUCAGGGGGAGUAAUGCACACGUUGGCACACAGACUGACCAUGUGGGGCAACACCCACCUGUUGUCGCUGAGAGCAACACACGUGCCAGGCGCGCGGAACUGGGGAGCAGAUUUAAUGUCCAGGGGCGACCCUCGUUAUGAGGACUGGAAACUCCACAUCGUGGUCGCGAACCAGAUAUGGGAGAGAUACGGUAGAGGGGACGUCGAUCUCUUUGCAUCAGAAGAGAACACUCAGUGCCCUCUGUUCUAUUCCCUAACCGGUAGGAGCGCCCCGAUGGGGCUGGAUGCUUUGGCAUACGAGUGGCCGCUCAUCCUCCUGUACGCUUUUCCCCAUUAG